CCCACUUCUUGGCCUUUUGGCUAAGAGCAAGUGUAGUAGCUGUUCUUAUCAAUUUAAUAUCUGAUAUGUCCUCUCUCCAAGGACAACAUACUAAAUGGAUUUUUGGAGCUGGGAGAUGAAAUAGGGGCUUGCUCUGUCCACUCCACACAUCGAGCUGGUGUUGCAGUACCUCCAGGAAUGGUGCACUCCCU
rnacentral:snRNA from 1 species